GCCUACGGCCAUCCCACCCUGGUAACGCCCGAUCUCGUCUGAUCUCGGAAGCUAAGCAGGGUCGGGCCUGGUUAGUACUUGGAUGGGAGACCUCCUGGGAAUACCGGGUGCUGUAGGCA
rnacentral:rRNA from 1 species